CUACGGGGGGCUGCAGUGAGGAAUAUUGCACAAUGGAGGAAACUCUGAUGCAGCAACGCCGCGUGGAGGAUGACGCAUUUCGGUGUGUAAACUCCUUUUAUAUGUCAAGAAAAUGACGGUAGCAUAUGAAUAAGCUCCGGCUAACUCCGUGCCAGCAGCCGCGGUAAUACGGAGGGAGCAAGCGUUACUCGGAAUCACUGGGCGUAUAGGACGAGUAGGCGGGAUAUCAAGUCAGGUGUGAAAUCCUACAGCUUAACUGUAGAACUGCACUUGAAACUGGUAACCUAGAGUAUGGGAGGGGGAGAUGGAAUUAGUGGUGUAGGGGUAAAAUCCGUAGAUAUCACUAGGAAUACCUAAAGCGAAGGCGAUCCCCUGGAACAUAACUGACGCUAAGGCGUGAAAGCGUGGGGAGCAAACAGGAUUAGAUACCCCCGUAGUC
rnacentral:rRNA from 1 species